rnacentral:rRNA from 1 species
ACGAACGCUGGCGGCGUGCUUCACCCCUGCCAGUCGCACGGAAAGGCCCUGCUUUUGUGGGGUGCUCGAGUGGCGAACGGGUGAGUAACACGUGAGUAACCUGCCCUUGACUUUGGGAUAACUUCAGGAAACUGGGGCUAAUACCGGAUAGGAGCUCCUGCUGCAUUGUGGGGGUUGGAAAGUUUCGGCGGUUGGGGAUGGACUCGCGGCUUAUCAGCUUGUUGGUGGGGUAGUGGCUUACCAAGGCUUUGACGGGUAGCCGGCCUGAGAGGGUGACCGGCCACAUUGGGACUGAGAUACGGCCCAGACUCCUACGGGAGGCAGCAGUGGGGAAUAUUGCACAAUGGGCGGAAGCCUGAUGCAGCAACGCCGCGUGCGGGAUGACGGCCUUCGGGUUGUAAACCGCUUUCGCCUGUGACGAAGCGUGAGUGACGGUAAUGGGGAAAGAAGCACCGGCUAACUACGU